CAAUCAGAUAGACUUCAUCAUCUGCCUGGGGGGAGACGGGACGCUGCUGUACGCUUCCUCGCUUUUCCAGGGCAGCGUCCCUCCGGUCAUGGCCUUCCACCUGGGCUCCCUGGGCUUCCUGACCCCAUUCAGCUUUGAGAACUUUCAGUCCCAAGUUACUCAGGUGAUAGAGGGGAACGCAGCUGUUGUUCUCCGGAGUCGGCUGAAGGUCAGGGUGGUGAAGGAGCUCCGGGGGAAGAAGACGGCCGUGCACAACGGGCUGGGUGAGAACGGCUCGCGGGCUGCGGGCCUGGACAUGGAUGUCGGGAAGCAGGCCAUGCAGUACCAGGUCCUGAAUGAGGUGGUGAUUGACAGAGGCCCCUCCUCCUACCUGUCCAACGUGGAUGUCUACCUGGAUGGACACCUCAUCACCACGGUGCAGGGCGACGGUAAGGCCCGCAGCGCUGUCCUGGGGCCCUGAGCGUCCCUCGGGCGGGAGUGACGCCUGCGCCUGUCCCUGUCAGGAGUGAUCGUGUCCACCCCGACGGGCAGCACGGCGUAUGCGGCCGC
rnacentral:sRNA from 1 species